UAAAACUAUGUGCCGAAGCUGCGGAUGUAUACUUUGUAUACGUGGUAGGGGAGCGUUCUGUAAGCCGAUGAAGGUGUAUUGAGAAGUAUGCUGGAGGUAUCAGAAGUGCGAAUGCUGACGUGAGUAACGACAAAACGGGUGAAAAACCCGUUCGCCGAAAGACCAAGGGUUCCAGUCCAACGUUAAUCGGGGCUGGGUGAGUCGACCCCUAAGGCGAGGCCGAAAGGCGUAGUCGAUGGGAAAAUGGUUAAUAUUCCAUUACUUCUGUGUAAUGCGAUGAGAGGACGGAGAAGGCUAAAUCAGCCUGGCGUUGGUUGUCCAGGUGAAAGGAUGUAGGCAUGUAUCUUAGGCAAAUCCGGGGUACUCUAUGCUGAGAUCUGAUAGCAAGCUGUACUUGUACAGCGAAGUGGUUGAUGCCAUGCUUCCAGGAAAAGUCUCUAAGCUUCAGUUACACAGGAAUCGUACCCGAAACCGACACAGGUGGUCAGGUCGAGUAGACCAAGGCGCUUGAGAGAACUCUGCUGAAGGAACUAGGCAAAAUGGUACCGUAACUUCGGGAGAAGGUACGCUGUUGUUGGUGAUGGAACUCGCUUCCUGAGCUGACGACAGCCGCAGAAACCAGGCCGCUGCAACUGUUUAUUAAAAACAUAGCACUCUGCAAACACGAAAGUGGACGUAUAGGGUGUGAUGCCUGCCCGGUGCUGGAAGGUUAAUUGAUGGGGUUAGCGUAAGCGAAGCUCUUGAUCGAAGCCCCAGUAAACGGCGGCCGUAACUAUAACGGUCCUAAGGUAGCGAAAUUCCUUGUCGGGUAAGUUCCGACCUGCACGAAUGG
rnacentral:rRNA from 1 species